CACACUUUCAAAAUGGCCAACGCAGGUGGCGUUGAGAAAUUGUGCCAGUCUCAUGCCGGGAGAGCGGCGAGGUAAGUGGUCCAACGGGCGAGAAGCAAGGAACCGAAAAGCACAGUGUAGCUGAAGAGGACAAAUUUGAGGAUUUCCCUGAAUGUCCGCAGGAAGCGGAUAAACAAAGGCUCGGAAUCCAGAUGCACCUCCUGUGUCUUGUGCCUGGGAGCAGCAAGAGUCAGGUGUCCCAGGAGGACCGGCGGUGUUCACAGGGCGGGCUGUUACUCUCCUCGCCGCGAAGUUGCCUGGUGCAACCUGCAGCCUUUCAACUCCCAACU